AGGACGAACGCUGGCGGCGUGCUUAAUACAUGCAAGUCAACUUGACUUUAGAUAGCAAUAUCGAAAGUAGGGUGGCGCACGGGUGCGUAACGCGUAGGUAAUCUGCCCUGAGGUCUGACAUAACCCGUCGAAAGGCGGGCUAACAUCAGAUGAUAUAUAAUCACGACAUCGUGGAAAUAUCAAAUCUUCGGAGCCUUGGGAUGAGCCUGCGUCUGAUUAGGUAGUUGGCGGAGUAAUAGCCCACCAAGCCUACGAUCAGUAGCUGGUCUGAGAGGAUGAUCAGCCACACUGGAACUGAGACACGGUCCAGACUCCUACGGGAGGCAGCAGUAAGGAAUAUUGCUCAAUGGGGGGAAACCCUGAAGCAGCAACGCCGCGUGAAGGAUGAAAUACUUUGUAUGUAAACUUCUGUAAGAUGGGAAAAAUAUUCUCCUCGGGAGAAUUGAUUGUACCAUCAGAGUAAGCCCCGGCUAACUACGUG
rnacentral:rRNA from 1 species